CCGUGACGUAGCCCCGAUCGCAUUCACAGAGGUAUGAACCUUCCGUGUUGCUGCAUCGCCCACCAAUGCACACCCCGGACUGCUCGCACUCGUCUAUGUCUGCAAACACACAGGAUGGUCCCGAGUCAAAGCCAGCCCUGGAGGGGGGGUCCUGGGGCAUCCUUUCCAGCGGCCACGGACAAGGCUGCUAGCUCCGGGUCAGAUACUUCACAGAGUCCUUGUCAGACUGAAUGAAAGGCGAAGAGCUGAGAGAAGUGCCUGGCAGGAAACACGGAGGAAUGUUUGUUAGCGUCGCUCAGGCAUAAACCAACCGCUAGAACCCAGGGAGCUUCCACCUCAGCCAUGCUUCCUAUCGCUCCAAGUUCACAGUGGAGCCUCUGGCAGACCUGCCACGUGCACCCUCCUCGGCUCCCAUGGAGAUGCUGGCCUUCGGCAUAGGGCGGACCCAGGAACCUUCCUGGCAACAACUCUCCGGGGAAUUCAGAAACAGCUGUCCAAACUCUUAGAAGCUCUACUGCCAACAGCAGAGGAAAAGAGAAGGAACUGGAAGGCAGAGCGAAAAGUGGAAACCUGAUGGGAAAAAAAUGGGGGACUCCAGAACCACCGCUUAAUAAACAGACAGUGCUGGUUUGCAGAGAAAAAUGGAGAUGGAGAAGUGGGUUCCUGGUAGCCACGCAAAGACGAACCCCAGGGGGAGAAAGCAUUCUGGAAAAGGCAAAUAAAGUGCACAGUGUCUAUGUGACAUAACAAAACCACAACACAUUAAAAAUAAUGCAAAAAAAGGGGGGCCAGCAAUGGCUCAGUGGGCAAGAGUCAGCCACCAAGCCCGGCAACCUGAGUUCCAUCCCCAGAACCCGCAUAAAGAUGGAGAGAACCAACUCCACAUGAACGCUGUCUUCUGACCUCCACACGAACACCCUGACACACAUAAAACAAAUAAGAUGUAACAGAAAACACAAGGUACACCCAAAAAGUCACGAGAAAAAAACCACAGCCACACUUGGGAAACAAGCAAGAGUAAGCAGUUCACAGAUGAGGGGACCCAAAGGCCGGAGUGCAAAGAUACACACUUACUCCAGGGCAAGUUAUAUGCAAACCCUUAAAUAAAUCCUUAAUAUUUAAAUAA